rnacentral:rRNA from 1 species
CGUUCCCGGGUCUUGUACACACCGCCCGUCACACCACGAGAGUUUACAACACCCGAAGCCGGUGGGGUAACCGCAAGGAGCCAGCCGUCGAAGGUGGGGUAGAUGAUUGGGGUG